CAUGCUCUCAGUAGUCCGGCCAGUUAGGCUCGAAUUAAUUGCACUUAACAUGUCUGAAAACUUGUUUGCAUGCGUAUUUUCUACUUAUUAUUAUGAUACAUGAUGUAGGUUUGCCCGAAAUACUUUAAUUUUGAUGAAGUAUCAUGGUGCGUUUUGGAGCAGUGGGACUAGGCCGCAUCGGCGUGGAAAUGCGAAGGGCCGAGGAUUAACUCAGAUCAAUGCAGUGUUUUUGAGGUGAUUGCACAUCCACACGUGGACGGAAGGGUGGUGUGCUGUCAGAUGGAGGCCUUUUAUGCAUGGCAGGAUGCAGUGAAUUGGUUUUGCAGAAGCAGCAUAAGCACAAUCAGACAGCGGUGCUCAAGAAAUGGACAAGCUACUGCAAGGCGACACUAGGACUCCAAAAUUACCAUGCUUUUUGAUUUUCUCUUACAUGCAUUUUUGAAGAAGACCUAAGUAUAUAUUGUUGAACUAUCAGAAUUUAACGCCCUGUUUGAAUAAAACAUUUG